CUAAACCUGAGGCAGAGGCGAUGGAUGGAGCUGGUGGCUGAAUAUGAUCUGGAGAU
rnacentral:sRNA from 1 species